rnacentral:rRNA from 1 species
UACAGAGGGGGCAAGCGUUAUUCGGAAUUAUUGGGCGUAAAGGGCGCGUAGGCGGCCUGGCAAGUGGAAGGUGAAAUCCCUCGGCUUAACCGAGGAACUGCCCUCCAAACUGCUUGGCUUGAGUCCGGGAGAGGUGAGUGGAAUUCCCAGUGUAGCGGUGAAAUGCGUAGAUAUCGGGAGGAACACCAGUGGCGAAGGCGGCUCACUGGACCGGUACUGACGCUGAGGCGCGAAAGCGUGGGGAGCAAACAGG